rnacentral:rRNA from 2 species
UGGGGAAUAUUGCACAAUGGGCGCAAGCCUGAUGCAGCCAUGCCGCGUGUAUGAAGAAGGCCCUCGGGUUGUAAAGUACUUUCAGCGGGGAGGAAGGGAGUAAAGUUAAUACCUUUGCUCAUUGACGUUACCCGCAGAAGAAGCACCGGCUAACUCCGUGCCAGCAGCCGCGGUAAUACGGAGGGUGCAAGCGUUAAUCGGAAUUACUGGGCGUAAAGCGCACGCAGGCGGUUUGUUAAGUCAGAUGUGAAAUCCCCGGGCUCAACCUGGGAACUGCAUCUGAUACUGGCAAGCUUGAGUCUCGUAGAGGGGGGUAGAAUUCCAGGUGUAGCGGUGAAAUGCGUAGAGAUCUGGAGGAAUACCGGUGGCGAAGGCGGCCCCCUGGACGAAGACUGACGCUCAGGUGCGAAAGCGUGGGGAGCAAACA